rnacentral:rRNA from 2 species
GGCGUAAGCGCGCGCAGGCGGUUUCUUAAGUCUGAUGUGAAAGCCCCCGGCUCAACCGGGGAGGGUCAUUGGAAACUGGGAAACUUGAGUGCAGAAGAGGAAAGUGGAAUUCCAAGUGUAGCGGUGAAAUGCGUAGAGAUUUGGAGGAACACCAGUGGCGAAGGCGACUUUCUGGUCUGUAACUGACGCUGAGGCGCGAAAGCGUGGGGAGCAAACAGGAUUAGAUACCCUGGUAGUCCACGCUGUAAACGAUGAGUGCUAAGUGUUAGAGGGUUUCCGCCCUUUAGUGCUGAAGUUAACGCAUUAAGCACUCCGCCUGGGGAGUACGGUCGCAAGACUGAAACUCAAAGGAAUUGACGGGGGCCCGCACAAGUGGUGGAGCAUGUGGUUUAAUUCGAAGCAACGCGAAGAACCUUACCAGGUCUUGACAUCCUCUGACAACCCUAGAGAUAGGGCUUUCCCUUCGGGGACAGAGUGACAGGUGGUGCAUGGUUGUCGUCAGCUCGUGUCGUGAGAUGUUGGGUUAAGUCCCGCAACGAGCGCAACCCUUGAUCUUAGUUGCCAGCAUUUAGUUGGGCACUCUAAGGUGACUGCCGGUGACAAACCGGAGGAAGGUGGGGAUGACGUCAAAUCAUCAUGCCCCUUAUGACCUGGGCUACACACGUGCUACAAUGGAUAGUACAA